GACGAACGCUGGCGGCGUGCUUAACACAUGCAAGUCGAACGGAAAGGCCCUGCUUUUGUGGGGUGCUCGAGUGGCGAACGGGUGAGUAACACGUGAGUAACCUGCCCUUGACUUUGGGAUAACUUCAGGAAACUGGGGCUAAUACCGGAUAGGAGCUCCUGCUGCAUGGUGGGGGUUGGAAAGUUUCGGCGGUUGGGGAUGGACUCGCGGCUUAUCAGCUUGUUGGUGGGGUAGUGGCUUACCAAGGCUUUGACGGGUAGCCGGCCUGAGAGGGUGACCGGCCACAUUGGGACUGAGAUACGGCCCAGACUCCUACGGGAGGCAGCAGUGGGGAAUAUUGCACAAUGGGCGGAAGCCUGGUGCAGCAACGCCGCGUGCGGGAUGACGGCCUUCGGGUUGCAAACCGCUUUCGCCUGUGACGAAGCGUGAGUGACGGUAAUGGGUAAAGAAGCACCGGCUAACUACGU
rnacentral:rRNA from 1 species